ACACUUCAGUUUCCGCCUUCUGCUCACGGACUGCAGAGAAAAGACGCCCUUCAAAACACAACGCUGGUCAUAUUUGUAAGUAGAAUAGUUUAAUGAAAUGUCUGAUACUUUUUCAUCUCCUGUGUGCUUUUCAUGUCACAUUUUUGACUUGUGUUAUCAUCCCUAAAGUCCCAGAGAAAGGAGAGAGGAGCAGAGAUGAGUUUAACUGCAGCAGUGAGUGGAUUCAUCCUUCUCCUCUCUGUAUCAGGUACUUCAUAUCUACAGCUUUUCCUUUUUAAUUUGAUCAAAAACAGACUCUGCUUACAGAACCUGCAGUUUUUUCUCCAAAAUUCUGAUUGUAAUUUGCUGUAUUGAAAUCACUUUUUGAGUUUUUUAGUGGAUACUAGUUUUGCAGUCAGGCUAGUGUCUCAGGGACUCAUUUAUUACAACACAUCUGCAACAACCCUGUCUGUUCCUCUUCAUAGGUGUUAUAUUUCCAUGCUGAUGCUGCAUUGACAGCACUUAUCUAAUCAUUGAGUAUUAGCUGCUGUACAGUUUCUCACCCCUUAGACUUCUGCAUUUAUUUUUAGAUACACACUUGACUGGGCAGCUAACUUUGCACAGAGAAAACUUUCACAGAACAGCACAAUCUGUCAAAUAAUUUACACUGUUAAUAAUGCUGUUGGGUUAGAGAAGUGUUCAUGAAUAUAAACAUCUGUAAUUUUUCAGUAUGGAUAAAUCUUCUCUCAGAUAUUUUGAUAAGUAGUUUAAAAUCUAAUAUCAAACAGAGAAAAAAGCUAAACCUGACAAAAAUAUCUUACAUGUGAUUGUUAUAUCAAGAUGAUGUCGGACUGCACCUCAAUGAUCUGGUUCAGAUUUAUUUAUUUCAUGUUCAGUCUUAAACUUUUCCUGGUCUGGUUAAAUUGACUGUGUUCUCUGAUUUUUGUGUUUUAGUGGUUCAGGCUCAGAACGGCUGGGAGGUGACUUACUCUAAAACUCAGAUCUGUGUCUCCAGAGGAUCAACUGUGGAAAUAAGCUGCAACUUUAAGUACCCAAAAACAAUGGAGAGGAAGCAGAACAAACUCUUAAAAACAUUUUGGUUUAUUAGGAAACGUGGUGAUGAGUUUCUAAACAUUGAAACAGACUCAGAGUAUUCAGGUCGUGUAAAGACCACGUAUGAUGGGACCAGAUCCACCUUGACAAUCACAAACCUGACAGGGAGUGACUCAGCUGAAUACAUGUUCAGGAUGGAGACAAGCGUGGACAAAUAUUUUGGCUACCCAGGUGUCACCUUGUCUGUCAGAGGUAAAGUUUUCUCUGAAAUUUUUCAUCUUUUAUCUUUUUUAAAAUCCUGUAAAUUAUUGUAUCAUGUGUAUGUUUAUGUGGAAAGUACUGACAGUUUUAUCUGAUCAGAUGUCCAGAUAAUGGUGAGCAGACCAGGUGGGCAUUUGCAGUUGAGGUGUCUCAGCCAUUGUCGUCAAGAUUUUCGAUACAUUUGGUUCAAGAAUGGAGAGAAGAUUAAGAACCAAAAUUCAAAAGAUCAUCAACCAGACCAGAUUCUGAACACAGACAGAUUUUCCUGUGCUGUAGAAGGAUAUGAGGACUUCCCCUCUCCUUCAGUGUGUGAGUUUACCCCUCCCUUUCCUCUAACACAACACUAUCUAUAGAGGUUUUAAAAUUUAGUGCGUGCCCUGACUCUCUGGUCUGUGGCUAACAUUUCCACUUUAAAAAACAUCUCAUAUCUGUGAUGCUCAGAGUAAAAACUCAAUAGUAAAGAGUUGUUAAAGGACAGAGAGCAUAAACCAAGUACAUCAGUGACUGAAAUGUUAACUGUAAAAUGUGUUUCUUCUUCAGAUGCUUUCGAGCCUCCCUCUGUGUCAGUAAGUUCCUCUGCUGAGAUAAUGGAGGGAAAAAAUCUGACUCUGACCUGCAGCAGUGACGCUAAUGUAGAAUCCAGUUAUACCUGGUAUCAAAGAAAUGAACUUCUACAUCCUCUGCGUCUCAGGAGAGGACCUCAGCUUGUCUUCAGCGCCAUUAAGUCCUCAGACUUUGGACAGUAUUACUGUGAAGUGAGGAACACCUUUGGGACACAGAUAUCGGGGAACAUCUUGGCUGGUUAUACAUGUGUGUGAAACAUCACAGUUCAAACACAUUAGAAAGACAAUAAACUACACAACAACACCUCAAAACAGUUUUAUCCUGUAUUUGAACAAAAAGCACUAAGACAAAAUUUCUUCUUUUAUAUGUUUAUUUGCAAGUUUAAUUUACUAACUUUGAUUAAAUCCAUUUCCAGAUGAUCCAAAACGUCCCUCUGUGUCAGUGAGUCCCUCUGCUGAGAUAGUGGAGGGUAAUCAUGUGACUGUGACCUGCAGCAGUGAUGCUAAGCCAGAUGCUAACCAUACCUGGUACAGAAGAAAUGGUGAUCUAAGUCCUCAGAGUCUCAGAAAAGGAAAUCAGCUUGUAUUCAGCUCCAUCCAGGUGUCAGACUCUGGACAGUAUUAUUGUGAAGUGAGGGGCAUCACUGAGUCCUCUAGGGAUGUCUUAGUCUAUGUGAAAUGUGAGUAAAAAGUCACAUUUAAAGAGGAACAGAAGGAUGAAAACCAUACACAACCAUGUCCCAGAAAUGAUUUUUAUUCUGUGUUUGUUUCUUUGUCAUUUCUGUUUUUAUCCGUCUUCAGAUGCUCCAAAGUUCUCUUAUGUGUCUGUGAGUCCCUCUUCUGAGAUAGUGGAGGGCAGUUCAGUGACUCUGACCUGUAUCAGUUACGCCAACCCAGCACCACGUUCCACCUGGUACAAGGAGAACAACACCACGUUUCAUUCAACAGGAGGAAUUUAUACUUUUCUCAACAUCAGCCAUCUGGACAGAGGGAGAUACAACUGCAGAUCUGAGAAUCAAUAUGGAUCACAUGUAUCUCCCCCUCUCUCACUAGAUAUCCAGUGUGAGUAGAAGACAUUACAAAGUUAGAUCACCUGGUACAAAACUCUUCUUAACGGCUGAAAGUCUCCAUGUAGGAAACUUGAAUGACUAAAGUUCUCUUUCGAUCUCCUCCAGAUGCUCCAAAACGUCCCUCUGUGUCAGUGAGUCCCUCUGCUGAGAUAGUGGAGGGUAGUUCAGUAAAUCUGACCUGCAGCAGUGAUGCUAACCCUGCAGCUACUUACACCUGGUACAAAGAGAGUGAAGACUCAGCAAAAGCUUCAGGACAGACCCUCACCAUCACUGAGUUCAGAGCUAAUCACAGUGGGAAUUAUUACUGUGAAGCCCGGAACAAAAUAGGACGCCAGAAAUCCAGCCCACAUCAGAUCGUUGCAGCAGGUGAGAUGUUUACACACCUGCACACAGAGAGCUCACCCUGAAUACUCAAAGUGGCUCAUGAUAUAUUUGAUUAAUUAAUUUUUUCCUUCACAAACACGUUUUCUCUGCAUCAGAUCUUAAAACUGACUAAAGUGAAUAAUUCAUGGAGGGAACUCCAUGUCAGAUUCUGGCUCAACAGAGUCUCAGACAGAGCUAAAGAUAUAGACCAGUCUGAUUCUGUUAGUAAUGUGUCUCACAUAUCUCUCUUCUUUCAUUCAAGGGAAAUCAACAAUAACAACCAUAAUUAGCAUCAGGUUGACCCUGUUCUUUUUGAUGUUAAUUCCACCACUUCUUGUGAUUCUGUUGACAAGGUAAAACCAUAAAACUCCAUCAAUUCAAACACGUUUCUUUUAUGAUCCUCUUCACUUGGUUCAUAGUUUAAUUUCUUUUCUCUCUAUUAUUGUAAAACUGACUUUUCUCAAAUGUAAUAAUCCAGGAAGAAGAAACCUCUGAACUCCAACACUGAACCAAGUGAACCUGCAGAGAUGAUAGAGGUGAGACCGAUUGCUGACAAAACAUCUUUACAGACCUGUUCAAAGAUGUCAGGAUCAAAGUUUCAAAAUGGGACUAAAAUACUUUCAAAGAUGAUCAACUCUCUUCAUCUGUCCUCAGCUGGACUCUGCUCAUGAGAAUGAGAAAGUCUCAGCGGUCACUGCAGCACAGACUGAAGACAUAGAGGAGCAGGAAGACAGGGUGUAAAGUCCAGUCAGGGUGGGGUGUCUCCAGUGGUGCUGAUGGUCUACUGGUCCCAUAACUGGACUAGAGUCCCCUGUUGAGCGGUUGCUGGUUCAACUCCCGCCCAUGAUCCUUUGCUGCACAUGUUCUCUCACUUUCUACACUCCUCAUUUGCUGUUUUUCUUCUGCUUUCCUAUCUACAAAAGGAAAAAAUGCCCAAAAACACGACUGUCAUGAAAGUCAAAUAGAAAAACAAGAUACUUUAAAAAUCAAGUCAAAAAUAAGACGUUUCAAACUCUUACUUUUGUCAUGUUGGUUAAGUUUCUUUUAUUUUUGCACAUUCAUGUUUUGUUUCAUGUCAUGUAUUUCCUGUUUUAUUUUGUAGUUCACCAACUCUUGUUUCUGUCUUCUAGCUUUGUUCCUGUCUGGUCUGCCCUCGUUUUGUCACACCUGCUGCCUGAUUGUGUUUCCCCACCUGUUCCCCAUCACCCUCACUACCUCUUGUAUUUAAUCUCAUGCAUCUCACUUUCUCAUCACCAGUUCGUUGCACUAUAUAGUCACGUUCCAGCAUUAUGCAUAGUUUUAGUCAAGUCAUGUGUUACCUUUGCCUGCUUUAUUUCUUACCUUGCCGUUUUACAAUAAAUCCUUGUCUUUUGGACCAAC
rnacentral:lncRNA from 1 species